rnacentral:rRNA from 1 species
AACGAACGCUGGCGGCAGGCCUAACACAUGCAAGUCGAGCGAGGACUUCGGUCCUAGCGGCGGACGGGUGAGUAACGCGUGGGAACGUGCCUUUGCUUCGGGAUAGCCCUGGGGAAAUGGGGGUUAUAACGGAUGAGCCCCUUGGGGGAAAGAUUUUUCGGCGAAGGAUCGGCCCGCGUUGGAUUAGGUAGUUGGUGGGGUAAAGGCCUACCAAGCCGACGAUCCAUAGCUGGUUUGAGAGGAUGAUCAGCCACACUGGGACUGAGACACGGCCCAGACUCCUACGGGAGGCAGCAGUGGGGAAUCUUAGACAAUGGGGGAAACCCUGAUCUAGCCAUGCCGCGUGAGCGAUGAAGGCCUUAGGGUUGUAAAGCUCUUUCAGCUGGGAAGAUAAUGACGGUACCAGCAGAAGAAGCCCCGGCUAACUCCGUG